GAUGAACGCUGGCGGCGUGCCUAAUACAUGCAAGUCGAGCGAACGGACGAGAAGCUUGCUUCUCUGAUGUUAGCGGCGGACGGGUGAGUAACACGUGGAUAACCUACCUAUAAGACUGGGAUAACUUCGGGAAACCGGAGCUAAUACCGGAUAAUAUUUUGAACCGCAUGGUUCAAAAGUGAAAGACGGUCUUGCUGUCACUUAUAGAUGGAUCCGCGCUGCAUUAGCUAGUUGGUAAGGUAACGGCUUACCAAGGCGACGAUGCAUAGCCGACCUGAGAGGGUGACCGGCCACACUGGAACUGAGACACGGUCCAGACUCCUACGGGAGGCAGCAGUAGGGAAUCUUCCGCAAUGGGCGAAAGCCUGACGGAGCAACGCCGCGUGAGUGAUGAAGGUCUUCGGAUCGUAAAACUCUGUUAUUAGGGAAGAACAUAUGUGUAAGUAACUGUGCACAUCUUGACGGUACCUAAUCAGAAAGCCACGGCUAACUACGUG
rnacentral:rRNA from 1 species